rnacentral:ncRNA from 20 species
AGGAUAUAGCCCGCUAAUGGUCUCCGUAAGGAGUUAAUAGGGAACCCAGUGUGAAUCUGGGACUGACGCGCAGCGGUAAUAGGAAUUUGUAUCUAUUAUAUUGUUGAACUGUAGCAGUGUUGGCUAUUUUUAUGAUCUUCCUACACUCAGCUUAUAUAAGAACAAUUAAUUUUCCUUGAGUCCGAAUAUCUGCCAUUGAAAGUCGCCUUGCU